rnacentral:rRNA from 1 species
AUGGUGUUGGUACUGCAACAAACUCCCGACACGAUGAUAGAUCCAAGUUUCCGUGGGCUUGUGGUUGAAUCUGAUCAUAAGUGCAUCCUGCACAGGCAGAGACCAGGCAGGUUUGUGGCAUUUGAAGGGACUGAUACUAGAAGGAGAUUCAUUGGAUGUGCUACUAUGGUAAGAGAUGGUGUGAACUUUGGUGUUCUGGAGUGAGUAGAUGCCCCUUGGCCAGUAAUUCUGCAAAGGUGUUUAACCAAGCUAUGGGAAAUGUCUCAUGAGGAGAACCUUGGUAGAGUCCAGGACAAAGAGGCUCAUGAGAUAGAGGUUGCAAAACUGAAGGAGCUAGAUUCUCUUGGCAAUCAGUACAGUCAGCUUGUGGAUGAUGUAUCCAAGAUGUUUGAUUACAAGGAUGGGCAGAAAUCCCAUGACAUGGAUUACACAAGCCAGGCAAUCAAUGAACUUAAGGAGAAGAAGCAUCAGCUUGAGGAGCAGGCAAAGAUUGAGGUUCAAAUGGAGAAGCUUGAGCUCAAGAAAGAACAGAGGUGCAUCCUAUAG